GAGAGUUGGGGAUUGUUGUAUUAAUAUAUAGUUAGAGAGUGCGUUUUCUCGUCAUGCUCUUGGAAAAAAAUUUCAUUUUUGGGAUUUUUCACACGUGAGAGAUUGAAGCAUGCGCGUCGCAGCCACCCGCACAUACACUUCAUGUUGGCACGCGUGGACCACUUCUUUGUGUUUUCCUCUAUUUGUCUUCUUUGUGCUUCCACA